rnacentral:misc_RNA from 1 species
CCAAUAGCGUAUAUUAAAGUUGUUGCAGUUAAAAAGCUCGUAGUUGAAUUUCGGGAUUGGCGCAUCGGUCGUGCCUUACGGGGUAUGAACUGGUGCAGUCAAUUUCUCACCUUCUGGAGAACCGCGAUGUCCUUAAUUGGGUGCCGCGGGGAACCAGGACCUUUACUUUGAAAAAAUUAGAGUGUUUAAAGCAGGCAUUUUUGCUUGAAUACAUUAGACUGGAAUAAUAAAAUAGGACGGCAUGGUUCUAUUUUGUUGGUUUCUAGGACCACCGUAAUGAUUAAUAGGGAUAGUUGGGGGCAUUAGUAUUCAAUUGUCAGAGGUGAAAUUCUUGGAUUUAUUGAAGACUAACUACUGCGAAAGCAUUUGCCAAGGAUGUUUUCAUUAAUCAAGAACGAAAGUUAGGGGAGCAAAGACGAUCAGAUACCGUCGUAGUCUUAACCAUAAACGAUGCCGACUAGGGAUCGGUGGGAGUUAGUUUUAUGACUCCAUCGGCACCUCAUG